UGACCUAGUGGAAGUUACCUU
rnacentral:miRNA from 1 species